rnacentral:rRNA from 1 species
AUUGAACGCUGGCGGCGUGCCUAACACAUGCAAGUCGAGCGGUAACAGGUGUAGCAAUACAUGCUGACGAGCGGCGGACGGGUGAGUAACGCUUGGGAAUCUGCCUAUUAGUGGGGGACAACCCGGGGAAACUCGGGCUAAUACCGCAUACGCUCUACGGAGGAAAGCCGGGGACCGCAAGGCCUGGCGCUAAUAGAUGAGCCCAAGUCGGAUUAGCUAGUUGGUAGGGUAAUGGCCUACCAAGGCGACGAUCCGUAACUGGUCUGAGAGGACGACCAGUCACACCGGAACUGAGACACGGUCCGGACUCCUACGGGAGGCAGCAGUGGGGAACAUUGGACAAUGGGCGAAAGCCUGAUCCAGCGACGCCGCGUGGGUGAAGAAGGCCUGCGGGUUGUAAAGCCCUUUCAGUGGGGAAGAAAGCCUCGACCUAACACGUCGGGGUCUUGACGUAACCCAUAGAAGAAGCACCGGCUAACUCUGUGCC